ACAAAAAACAUUCAUGGUUAACAUCUGCUUGAUGCAGACUUGGAACACGUCCACACUGAUACUGUUUUGCUGGUGUAGUAUACUGGUAUAGCCAAGCUAGGCACAAGUCGCACCUGAUUAUCACAGGUAUGCUUCAAAAGAUUGUAAGGUAGACCUAGACUUGACCUUUCCUGUGAGAAAUUUCUCUCUCUCUCUUUUUUUUUUUUAAAUUGUUUCAAAAUCAUGAAAGCAUAGGUUGUAGAACUGGCUGCUAUUUGGGAUUACAGCUAGUCAAAAAAAGGACCUGAUCCUAUACAGCUUACUUCCUUGGGAGUUUUGUAGGACCAUGAAUAGGGCUGUACUGAAGAAAACUGUUCUUAGACAAGGCCUGUUUUGAGAAUUGCUUUAUAUGUUGCUGCUUCCUUUGAGUAUUUGCUUGAAUUUAUGCUUUUACUCCUUGUUUUGAACCACAAACGCUUUUGUUUGAGUUCACAAUAGCUAACCUAUGUGCUAUUGUAUAGAAAUCUAUUAAGUAAACUGAGAUUUUUCCCUUUAAAGUUUCCCCGUCACACACCUUUCUACCCUUCAAAAAUGUAAUUGAAACAACUGACAGUUCACAAUAUUGAAGUUGCUUUAUCCAUGAUUGAGGAAAUACAGUCCUAUUUCAGUAACUGCUUGCUGUAACUUGCAAGUGUGGUUGUUGUCCUCCCAGUCCCGGAUGUUUUGAGUUGCAUUAUAGAAAUAAUGAUAAUUUUCCUACCUAGACUAGAUGCAUCUAUUUUGAAUACUUAUGGUUGGUUGCUUCUUUCUUUAAUACUGCAAAUAAUACUGUAGUUAAAAAGAAAAAUGCAGUGACUGAUUUGUCUUUUUUUUUUUACCAAGUAGAAUCUGUGAAGUGAAUGAAUGAGGAAUAGUUUCAAACGUGUGUUCAGGAAAGCCAGAUAUAAACAAAGGAUUCCUUCUUCAUAUUUAUAAGUGCAUGAAAUAUAAUAUUUUGACUCAAUAAACAAUAAUUGAUUUUUUUUUUUUUCCGCAAGGAGUUCUGAUAAUGUAUUCCUCAAGUGUAAAUGAGAUUCCAGAGUCCUUUAGUUGAAUGAUGUGCAUGCAAGCUUCGGAUGUAAAGUUCAGUCAUUGUAACUGCUGCAGCUUCGUUCACUGAAGAAACCGGAACAAUAGUUUGUUUGUAAUGACCCUGCAACUGAGUACAAAGGCUCAUCUGACCUUUGAACCUUGGUGGCUGUGCAUCUGAAGGAGGAAUUGUUAAUGAAUGGGCAGGACUGCCCCCCACCCCAACUUUCCCCAGGAAUGUUUAAUGUCAUUUCUUCCAAUUAACAGAUGGAACAAAAAAUCUUGUUGAUUUUUAUAUGACUAGGUACCUUCCUACCACUCUGAUGUGAUGCUCUUGUAUGUUGAGGAAAAGGAAGGGAAAAAAGUUGGCUAUUACUGUUUGUUGUAAAGGAUUUUUUUUAUAAGUGUGGUUACAUUACUUAAAAGUCUCACUUUGUUUAUUGUAUGCUACCUGGCUGAAAUCAUGGUCAUGAAAAUAUUGUUGUUUUGUCAUGAUUACCUCUUUGUUCUCUAAGGUGAUUAUUUUCUCACAACCAGUAGGAGGCAACAGGAAGGAAUAGUUAGUCUUCUGAAGACAUCGUUAUCCUUCUAUAUAAAUGUGCUGACUGCGUCAUUCCCUGUUAGAGUUUUUAGCAAGUUGAAGCAGUGUCUUGUAAUAGUUAUAGUCAUCAAUUCUUAAAAUUCAGCAAGGUGAAGAGUAAAUCAUACAGGUUUUGAAAUUAGAUAAGCCAUGUUGAGCCAAUAGAGGCUUUAAAAAAUUCAUGCCGCAUUCAUGCUCAGCCUUAAGUAUGCAAGCUUUUAGUUUCUGCACGGAAUAUGCAGAAAAGUAAUCUUUAAUAUAUUUUUAUUGCUCAUUCAAACGCCUUGUCCUGUAUACACAUGCUUGCACGCAUGUUCAUGUGCACAGUAAUCUAAUCUAAACCCUGCCCUCUGAAGACAUAUCAUGGAUUUGCCUUGUUCAGAUAGAGGAAAGAGGAGUGGGAUUACACUGCUGACCCCACUAGGAUGGCGACUGGGUGUAUUCUAGAAACUGUACCACCAAAAAAGCCCUCAGGAAGUCAGAGCUGUCCAAGUGCCAACGCUACUCUGGUUUUGGGGUCCCCUGCCCUCCUUUAGUCUAGCACCUGAGAGAGAGCUCAGUCACCAGAAGGUGACUGUAUCCGUUUGCAUGAGAGUGGCAUCCAGCAUCUGUAGCUUGAUUGACCCUGGCCGUCUUCACUCUUGGGUCUUGUUGUUAGUGUCCUUAAGGACAUUUUUUUGUUUUUUGUUUGUUUUAUAUCUUUGUCAUACUCUAGAAAUCUGGCAGAAGAAAAGCAGCAGCAACCAGGGAUGCUUUUCAAUAAGAGAUCAUUAGUACAAGUAGCGGUUCUUGUUACUGUUUCAAGAAGAACAAAUUCCACUUUAUUUUGUGGUGCGCAAGGUGAUUAAACAUGUUGUUUCUCAAAGGAGUAUGAAGAGCUUUGGAUGGCACUUUGGUAAAGUUUUAGCCUCCGUGGAUUUGCAUGAUUUUUUUCCCUCCCUUUGCCUAUUCUUUUGUUCCAAAAGCAGGAUUGAAGCUUUUUCUGUCACAUAGACCAAUUCUGAAGACGAAGCCCUCCUCCUCCUUAGCUUCCUGAUCUGGAUUAUGUAACAUCAGUAAUAAAAGGACCUUCAAGGUUGCCACCUGUUGACAAGGGGAAAUAAUCCACCUUGUCUGGGUUGGCAUAGGACAACUCAAGGAAAGCUUGUCAUCAUUUAAUGAAUGAAUGGAGCAUGUAGCCAUAAAUAGAGCCAGUUUUGAAUGCAGCCAGAAAAAGCAACCACACUUUCUUUUUUAUUUUCACAGUACUUAAUAUUAUAAUGUAGGUGUUUUUCACUUUUGGAAGCUGAGCAUAUGUAUAAACAAAUUAAAAUAAACACGUUGAGAACUGGCCU